rnacentral:rRNA from 1 species
UACGGAGGGUGCGAGCGUUGUCCGGAAUCACUGGGCGUAAAGGGCGCGUAGGCGGUCCGGUAAGUCCGCUCUGAAAGUCCGGGGCUCAACCCCGGGAGGCGGGCGGAUACUGUCGGGCUAGAGUCCGGAAGAGGCGAGUGGAAUUCCUGGUGUAGCGGUGAAAUGCGCAGAUAUCAGGAGGAACACCAAUGGCGAAGGCAGCUCGCUGGGACGGUACUGACGCUGAGGCGCGAAAGCGUGGGGAGCAAACAGG